UACGGAGGGUGCGAGCGUUAAUCGGAAUUACUGGGCGUAAAGGGUGCGUAGGUGGUUUGAUAAGUCAAUUGUGAAAGACCUGGGCUUAACCUGGGAUGGUCAGUUGAUACUGUUAGACUUGAGUGUGGGAGAGGGUAGUGGAAUUUCCGGUGUAGCGGUGAAAUGCGUAGAGAUCGGAAGGAACACCAGUGGCGAAGGCGGCUACCUGGCUCAACACUGACACUGAGGCACGAAAGCGUGGGUAGCAAACAGG
rnacentral:rRNA from 1 species